UCACUCUCUCACUCUUUUCCUCUUCAUUGUUGUGACAUCUCACCUCUAUCAUGUCUGUCGUCCGCCGUUCGCCAUCAAUCAAUCACCUGUGCGCAUGUCGCUCCCUACUCUCUGUUCUGCUUUUCCUCCUCGCAUUCUUUAUUGAAUUUGUUCUGUUCGAUUUCACUUCAAGUGGAGCAUAUGCCGUCUUCUGUGCUGCCGUUGUUUGUUGCGUUGCCGGUUGCUAGCGUUUCUCAAUUCUUCUGUCGUCCGCUGCGUUUUCAUCUUCUGUUCACGCAUUGCCGCCGCUGUCUGACUGCACAAUAGUGACAACACAACUACCUGGGACUUCUUCUCCAUUCAGGAUCAUCAAGGUUUCUUCUACCACAUCAUCAGCGAUUCAAGAUUGUUCGAGCUUUCUCUGGUCCUAGUCACGGUGGAAUUGGUCACAAAUUAUUUCUUCCUUAAUAAUUAGGCAUAUUAUUGUUGUUAUUAUCAUUAUUACUAUUAAUUAUUUUACAUCCAAAUAAUAUGUGGUUUAUGUAAUGAUAUUACACUCUUAGAGAAUUGCUUGUAUAUAUGUUUAUAUAUGAAACGCUUUUAAUGCGUUACAAGUUAUAUAUGAUGAAUUGUAUAUAUGAUUUUCUUGUUUUAUUGUGUGAGAUUAUUGUUUUUUUUAGAAUUUGGUGCAGAAGAUCUCAAGCACUGUUUCUACUUCUUAGCAAGAACCUAAGAGAGAAUUACUCAAUUAAAAUUGAGCUAAACUGUUUAAUUAGCCAUCAUCCCUUAGCUUUUAUGUUUGGUGAAAAAUAUCUACAUUAUUAUCCAUUCUCUUAUUUUUUCAAUAUUACAAGAAAAGUUGAUUUUAGUAGCCAUAAUUAUUGCUGGUAUUUUUCUUAUUUAAUAUUUUUACUUGUAUUUUUUGUGCACAUAGGAGGUAAAUCUCUUGUGCAUUUCACUAGAGAAAGAAAAAAAGAGAAAAGGUUAAGCAAAAAAUAAAUGUCUAAUCGCCAAAAUUAAAUUAUAUUAAGCUAAGUCAGAAGAUAAAGGUGAUUUAUUUCCAUUUGCAUGCAUGUUAAUUUCUUCACUCUUUCUUCAACUUUCUGCGAUACCAUUUUUGGUUAAAUGAAGAAAGAAGUCUUUGAUCUCUACUGCUGUAAAUUAAUGGUUCACAAAGUUUCUUGGAGUCAAAGCACAUUAUUAACGGUUCGGAUUUGGGUUUACCACUAAACAACUUUCUCUUUGCUAUUCAAAUGUCUUCGGUCAAGCAAAAAGAACCAGUUUUAAAAUCCCUAAUUUUGGAGUUAAUUGAAGAAAGUGAAAUAACAAGUUUGGGGAAGCACAUAGCUCGAGGAGUUGACUUGGAAGAAAGUAAAUCAGCAACAUGAAAAGAGAUACAAAAAGAAAAAUUUUCAUCUUUUUGAAGACAAAGAGAAAGAACCAGAGUCUGAGUUUCAAAGAGAGCUUCCUGAGAAAGUUCAACAUUUUAGACAGUGUGUUCUAGAGAAAGAAGCAUUCCGCCAAGAUGAAGAAUCCGAUUAGUGAUAGCUCAAUCCGAUUCAUCUUAUAACAACAGAGGUUGUUGAAGCAUUAAUCUCCUUCAUGUUUUAUAGAUUGUAAUUUCAAUUUUAAUGUAUAUUUUUCUGUAAUUUCUUGAGUGGAAAAAUGUUGAAACAGAGAGAGUUUAAGAAAAAGCCAAAAAGUGACAAAAGGCUGGGUGAUACACUUGAGUGAAAUGCCUAGAGUGAUUUCAGAUUUCUUUAGAUUGUUUCAUAUGUCUUAUAUCUUGUAUCUGUGAGAUAUCCCUUUCUAAGUUAGGUUAGCACUUGGAGUGGAGAGUUAGGUAUUAGCAUAACUAAGUCAAGUUAUGAUAAAACUUGAGAGGGAAAGGAUUGUGUCAAUUCUGUGAAAUUGGUGUAUGUAAUACUUCAACUAUAGUGAAAAUUCCACAACUGUUGUGGUGGGGAUUAGAUA